CCUACGGGAGGCAGCAGUGAGGAAUAUUGCUCAAUGGGCGCGAGCCUGAACCAGCCAAGUAGCGUGACGGAUGACUGUCCUACGGGUUGUAAACUUCUUUUAUAAAGGAAUAAAUUUACGCACGUGUGCCUUUUUGUAUUUACUUUAUCAAUUAGGAUCGGCUAACUCCGUGCCAGCAGCCGCGGUAAUACGGAGGCUCCGAGCGUUAUCGGGAUUUAUUGGGUUUAAAGGGAGCGUAGAUGGGUUGUUAAGUCAGUUGUGAAAGUUUGCGGCUCAACCGUAAAAUUGCAAUUGAUACUGGCAGCCUUGAGUACAGUUGAGGUAGGCGGAAUUCGUGGUGUAGCAGUGAAAUGCUUAGAUAUCACGAAGAACUCCGAUUGCGAAGGCAGCCUACUAAACUGCCACUGACAUUGAUGCUCGAAAGUGUGGGUAUCAAACAGGAUUAGAUACCCUAGUAGUC
rnacentral:rRNA from 1 species